GAUGAACGCUGGCGGCGUGCCUAAUACAUGCAAGUCGAGCGAACGGACGAGAAGCUUGCUUCUCUGAUGUUAGCGGCGGACGGGUGAGUAACACGUGGAUAACCUACCUAUAAGACUGGGAUAACUUCGGGAAACCGUAGCUAAUACCGGAUAAUAUUUUGAACCGCAUGGUUCAAAAGUGAAAGACGGUCUUGCUGUCACUUAUAGAUGGAUCCGCGCUGCAUUAGCUAGUUGGUAAGGCAACGGCUUACCAAGGCAACGAUGCAUAGCCGACCUGAGAGGGUGAUCGGCCACACUGGAACUGAGACACGGUCCAGACUCCUACGGGAGGCAGCAGUAGGGAAUCUUCCGCAAUGGGCGAAAGCCUGACGGAGCAACGCCGCGUGAGUGAUGAAGGUCUUCGGAUCGUAAAACUCUGUUAUUAGGGAAGAACAUAUGUGUAAGUAACUGUGCACAUCUUGACGGUACCUAAUCAGAAAGCCACGGCUAACUACGUA
rnacentral:rRNA from 1 species